UUUCGUAGUCUUUUGAAUGGAUAAAAUAUAGAAAUCAUUUUAAUUUCCAGAUAAACCUAACCAGUUGGAAAUGAAACGCUGUCCCCCCUCAAAAUACCUUUAUUUUUUAAUUAUCUUGGUUGCGUGGGUUGUGAGCCAGCACGGCUCCAGCGCAAAUGAAUCCAAUGUUUUGAGGUGAAUGUGUUGCUGUUUACUGAACUUCGCAAUCACAGAUUCUAGCCUAUGUCUUGGAAUAUAUGACCCAAAUAAAAAUAAAAAUUUUCAACGUAUAUUGCCAUCUGAACAAAUGUCAGCAGCCUACUCUCCCCUCAGUGGGAACAGGAGGCAGCCCACUCCCACUCCUGCUUGCGUCACGGAAAGGAGAGAGGCUUCCGAAAGUGGAAGACAGAUGGGAGAGGCAUCCAUUGAUGAGAACUAAAUCCACACAGACUGCGAUUGAGGCAUUUGACACUUCUGUACUGAUGCAUUAAUGAGUGGUAAUGUGAGAGUUGUGCUCAUAAGAUGCAGAUGAGUAAUGCGAGAGGAAGAUUUUUUUUUUUUUUUACUUAUUAUUAGUAUUUAUUUAUUUUUACAACUUAUUAGGGAUGAGUACCUUGUUACAUUCUGUGCCUUUCAGGCUUAACCAUUCAUGGACAUCUGACAGCGGAAGGCAGUGCUUUCUUCUAUAAAAACUUAAGUAUUUUUUUUCUCUCUAUGCAGUAGUAUUCUAAAAAUUAUUUCAAUGAAAUGCUUUUAUUCUAGUUCAGAAACUUGUUACAUAUGGAGGACUCAGUGAGAGGGUACAACAUCAUCUGGUUCUCUGAAUUGCCAUCGCUAUGGCAACCUGAUGCACAUCCGUGUGACAUCACAGCCCACUCAAUCAAACUAGCAGGGACAGAAUGUGAUUUGAGAGCACACUCUGUGAGAGCACCUGCAGUCUACAAGACUCUCCGACCAAUUAUUUCCAGAAAAAAAUCCAGAAAAGGUUUGCUUAUGUGUUUUUUGUUGAGUAUCAUAUUUGAUGCAUUAGGCUUUUAUGGCUCAUAUAGUUUCAUAUAAAGGAAUAUGAAGCAGAAAAACCUUUUUAUUCAGAGAAAAAAAAAAUU